rnacentral:misc_RNA from 1 species
GUAGGUGAACCUGCGGAAGGAUCAUUAAAAAUGAAGCCGGGAAACCGGUCCUUCUAACCCUUGAUUAUCAUAAUUUGUUGCUUUGGUAGGCCGCGCAAGCACCGGCUCCGGCUGGUUAGUGCCUACCAGAGAACCACAACUCUGUAAUAAAUGUCGUCUGAGUACUAUAAAAUAGUUAAAACUUUCAACAACGGAUCUCUUGGUUCUGGCAUCGAUGAAGAACGCAGCAUCUCGAGCAAACAUCUCGUAU